rnacentral:rRNA from 1 species
UAGUAAUGGCAGGUCAGCAUACUGCCGUGAAUACGUUCCCGGGCCUUGUACACACCGCCCGUCACACCAUGAGAGUUAGGAAUACCCGAAGCCUGUGAGCUAACUUUUAGAGGCAGCAGUCGAAGGUAGAACUAAUGAUUGGGGUGAAGUCGUAACAAGGUAUC